GAUGAACGCUGGCGGCGUGCCUAAUACAUGCAAGUCGAGCGAACAGACGAGGAGCUUGCUCCUCUGACGUUAGCGGCGGACGGGUGAGUAACACGUGGAUAACCUACCUAUAAGACUGGGAUCACUUCGGGAAACCGGAGCUAAUACCGGAUAAUAUCUUGAACCGCAUGGUUCAAUAGUGAAAGACGGCUUUGCUGUCACUUAUAGAUGGAUCCGCGCCGCAUUAGCUAGUUGGUAAGGUAACGGCUUACCAAGGCAACGAUGCGUAGCCGACCUGAGAGGGUGAUCGGCCACACUGGAACUGAGACACGGUCCAGACGCCUACGGGAGGCAGCAGUAGGGAAUCUUCCGCAAUGGGCGAAAGCCUGACGGAGCAACGCCGCGUGAGUGAUGAAGGUCUUCGGAUCGUAAAACUCUGUUAUGAGGGAAGAACAAAUGUGUAAGUAACUAUGCACGUCUUGACGGUACCUAAUCAGAAAGCCACGGCUAACUACGUG
rnacentral:rRNA from 1 species